ensembl:lncRNA
AUUGAUUGGCCAUAGAGAACACCUGCCGGUCUUGAGCCAACAAACAUCUGUCAGCAAUAAAGAUGAGCCCCUGUUAUUUUCCUCGAGAGGAGGACGCUUGCACCUGACAAUGCAUCGUGUCUCAGUGGUGAGGAGGGCACCUGGCAGAAGAGGCGCAGAUGGGAGCUGAAAUGUUUUCAAACGAAAACAUCAGCUCCACUGCAUUCUCAUCUGCAAGAGCCACAAGCAGUCACGCUGCUGCAUGUCUCCCAGCAGAGAUGUGAAGCAGUAGAAGGCCUGCAAGCCAACUGACUGCUCUUACAUAUUCCUCAGGAGAAAGGUUGUUCGUACCAGACAUCGGGGCUAAAAAUAGACCACACCCUCCAGGCCUUGGGAAAACCGGACAAGACUGACACCUGGUGGUGGGCUCUGGGAAUGCAGCUAGAACUAGACAGAAGAAGUUGAGAUGAUGUUUCACCGGUACCGCUGUUGUGAUGAAGACGAUGGUGAAAGAUGAUGAUGUGAUGAAGAUGAUGGUGGUGAUGGAGGCCACAGAAGUGGUAGAAUGGAUUGAUGAGGCUUUAGGACCCAGCGACCGGGCAACUGUCCUCCAAUUAAAAGAACACUAAAC